rfam:Otolemur garnettii contig052874, whole genome shotgun sequence.
GCUUUUCUUUAGUCGCGCAGGUAUAAAGUUGAAAUAGACAGAGAAGAUUAGCAUGAUCCCUGUACAAGGAUGGCAAAAAGAAAUAUAACAAGAAAAGAAAUUUU